rnacentral:rRNA from 1 species
GAUGAACGCUGGCGGCGUGCCUAAUACAUGCAAGUCGAGCGAACGGACGAGAAGCUUGCUUCUCUGAUGUUAGCGGCGGACGGGUGAGUAACACGUGGAUAACCUACCUAUAAGACUGGGAUAACUUCGGGAAACCGGAGCUAAUACCGGAUAAUAUUUUGAACCGCAUGGUUCAAAAGUGAAAGACGGUCUUGCUGUCACUUAUAGAUGGAUCCGCGCUACAUUAGCUAGUUGGUAAGGUAACGGCUUACCAAGGCAACGAUGCAUAGCCGACCUGAGAGGAUGAUCGGCCACACUGGAACUGAGACACGGUCCAGACUCCUACGGGAGGCAGCAGUAGGGAAUCUUCCGCAAUGGGCGAAAGCCUGACGGAGCAACGCCGCGUGAGUGAUGAAGGUCUUCGGAUCGUAAAACUCUGUUAUUAGGGAAGAACAUAUGUGUAAGUAACUGUGCACAUCUUGACGGUACCUAAUCAGAAAGCCACGGCUAACUACGUG